UGGGGGGACCAUCCUCCAAGGCUAAAUACUCCUGACUGACCGAUAGUGAACCAGUACCGUGAGGGAAAGGCGAAAAGAACCCCGGCGAGGGGAGUGAAAAAGAACCUGAAACCGUGUACGUACAAGCAGUGGGAGCACGCUUAGGCGUGUGACUGCGUACCUUUUGUAUAAUGGGUCAGCGACUUAUAUUCUGUAGCAAGGUUAACCGAAUAGGGGAGCCGAAGGGAAACCGAGUCUUAACUGGGCGUUAAGUUGCAGGGUAUAGACCCGAAACCCGGUGAUCUAGCCAUGGGCAGGUUGAAGGUUGGGUAACACUAACUGGAGGACCGAACCGACUAAUGUUGAAAAAUUAGCGGAUGACUUGUGGCUGGGGGUGAAAGGCCAAUCAAACCGGGAGAUAGCUGGUUCUCCCCGAAAGCUAUUUAGGUAGCGCCUCGUGAACUCAUCUCCGGGGGUAGAGCACUGUUUCGGCAAGGGGGUCAUCCCGACUUACCAACCCGAUGCAAACUGCGAAUACCGGAGAAUGUUAUCACGGGAGACACACGGCGGGUGCUAACGUCCGUCGUGAAGAGGGAAACAACCCAGACCGCCAGCUAAGGUCCCAAAGUCAUGGUUAAGUGGGAAACGAUGUGGGAAGGCCCAGACAGCCAGGAUGUUGGCUUAGAAGCAGCCAUCAUUUAAAGAAAGCGUAAUAGCUCACUGGUCGAGUCGGCCUGCGCGGAAGAUGUAACGGGGCUAAACCAUGCACCGAAGCUGCGGCAGCGACGCUUAUGCGUUGUUGGGUAGGGGAGCGUUCUGUAAGCCUGUGAAGGUGUGCUGUGAGGCAUGCUGGAGGUAUCAGAAGUGCGAAUGCUGACAUAAGUAACGAUAAAGCGGGUGAAAAGCCCGCUCGCCGGAAGACCAAGGGUUCCUGUCCAACGUUAAUCGGGGCAGGGUGAGUCGACCCCUAAGGCGAGGCCGAAAGGCGUAGUCGAUGGGAAACAGGUUAAUAUUCCUGUACUUGGUGUUACUGCGAAGGGGGGACGGAGAAGGCUAUGUUGGCCGGGCGACGGUUGUCCCGGUUUAAGCGUGUAGGCUGGUUUUCCAGGCAAAUCCGGAAAAUCAAGGCUGAGGCGUGAUGACGAGGCACUACGGUGCUGAAGCAACAAAUGCCCUGCUUCCAGGAAAAGCCUCUAAGCAUCAGGUAACAUCAAAUCGUACCCCAAACCGACACAGGUGGUCAGGUAGAGAAUACCAAGGCGCUUGAGAGAACUCGGGUGAAGGAACUAGGCAAAAUGGUGCCGUAACUUCGGGAGAAGGCACGCUGAUAUGUAGGUGAAGCGACUUGCUCGUGGAGCUGAAAUCAGUCGAAGAUACCAGCUGGCUGCAACUGUUUAUUAAAAACACAGCACUGUGCAAACACGAAAGUGGACGUAUACGGUGUGACGCCUGCCCGGUGCCGGAAGGUUAAUUGAUGGGGUCAGCGCAAGCGAAGCUCUUGAUCGAAGCCCCGGUAAACGGCGGCCGUAACUAUAACGGUCCUAAGGUAGCGAAAUUCCUUGUCGGGUAAGUUCCGACCUGCACGAAUGGCGUAAUGAUGGCCAGGCUGUCUCCACCCGAGACUCAGUGAAAUUGAACUCGCUGUGAAGAUGCAGUGUACCCGCGGCAAGACGGAAAGACCCCGUGAACCUUUACUAUAGCUUGACACUGAACAUUGAGCCUUGAUGUGUAGGAUAGGUGGGAGGCUUAGAAGUGUGGACGCCAGUCUGCAUGGAGCCGACCUUGAAAUACCACCCUUUAAUGUUUGAUGUUCUAACGUUGACCCGUAAUCCGGGUUGCGGACAGUGUCUGGUGGGUAGUUUGACUGGGGCGGUCUCCUCCUAAAGAGUAACGGAGGAGCACGAAGGUUGGCUAAUCCUGGUCGGACAUCAGGAGGUUAGUGCAAUGGCAUAAGCCAGCUUGACUGCGAGCGUGACGGCGCGAGCAGGUGCGAAAGCAGGUCAUAGUGAUCCGGUGGUUCUGAAUGGAAGGGCCAUCGCUCAACGGAUAAAAGGUACUCCGGGGAUAACAGGCUGAUACCGCCCAAGAGUUCAUAUCGACGGCGGUGUUUGGCACCUCGAUGUCGGCUCAUCACAUCCUGGGGCUGAAGUAGGUCCCAAGGGUAUGGCUGUUCGCCAUUUAAAGUGGUACGCGAGCUGGGUUUAGAACGUCGUGAGACAGUUCGGUCCCUAUCUGCCGUGGGCGCUGGAGAACUGAGGGGGGCUGCUCCUAGUACGAGAGGACCGGAGUGGACGCAUCACUGGUGUUCGGGUUGUCAUGCCAAUGGCACUGCCCGGUAGCUAAAUGCGGAAGAGAUAAGUGCUGAAAGCAUCUAAGCACGAAACUUGCC
rnacentral:rRNA from 1 species